rnacentral:lncRNA from 1 species
AUUUUGUCCUUCUACUGUCUCUCACGAACCGCUGGGCUUUGAAAAUGCAAAACCAAAACAAACACAAAGGAACACGCUGGAGAAGAAUGUGUGUGUGUGUGUGUGUGUGUGUUUAAAAUCACUCUGGUGAUUGCCCAAUCACUGGGCCAUGGUAAUUAUCCAGGAAGGUGUUUGAAGAUAUGCUCCACUGAAGGGGAGUGAUAACAACCUUCAGAAACUGUUUAAUCCCCAGGAACUAAAAUCAGUCUGAUGGCAGCUGCGCAAGAUGGGAAGGAAUAAUCACUGAAAUUAGACCAAGGAGGAGAGCAUGAAGUGUGUUUUCUUUCAGCCACCGGCGUUGGAAGAGCUCAAGUUCAGCUGCCCCAUCCCGCCUGGGACACAGGCGGACAGUGGCGGAGACAGAGACAGGCCAGGGAGCAACAGAGGAUGGGGAAGUCGUUACCAGGACCAGACACGCCCUUCCCAGGUUCCAAGUCAUGUUGGAGGCCUCUUAAAUGUUCAGAAAUGGCUUCAUCUGAUGAGAUCUUCACCACUGCACUUUGGAUUGGAAUGAAUAGCAGAAUGGUAACACUCUUGUCAGUUUUCACAAUACUGAAAUGGUACACAGACUAUCUUUACACUAACGUAUUUUUGCUAAAAAUUAACAAGAGUAGAUUAUCUAAUAUUCAACAAAAGCAAACACUUUUACCUCUGGGGGGUGGGAAUUAUUGUCAAAAUUAAAAGUUGAAGCAAAUUAAUUUAUAAGCAAAUUUCCAACCUGAUUUUUUGUAUAUGUUGAGAUGUAACAAUUUAGUUUUCAAAAACCCAGAUUGUAACUUUAAAGACUUUUGUCUUAACAGAAUAUACUGUUCUUAGAAAUAGGAUGGAAAAGGUUGGUUGGUUGAUCAGUGGUUGUAUACACUUUCUUGUAAUUGUAGCAAAUUCUAGAAGGGUACUUCUUAAAGAAAGAAACUGUGGGUUAGUAAGUGAUAAUGUGGCCAUGGAAUUAUGAAGUUUCCCAACUUGCCUAUUCUGGAGAAUUAUCUAGGGCAUACAUUAAAAAACAACAAUGACAACAGCAAAACAAACAAAACAGAUUCCAGGUCCCACCCUAGCCCUCUCUAGGGGAGACCUAAAAGAAAUCUGUAUUUUAAACAGGUAUGCAGGGCUGCUCUUAUCAUCUGGCAAGUCUGAGAAGUAGUAGAUAAUGGGGAAAGGUCUGACUUUAUCAUCAGACAGACUGAACUUGAAUCCCUGCUUGGCCAGGCUGGAGCUGAAUAACAUUUGGUUAAUUUCUCUGAGCUUCAGUUUCUUCAUUCAUUGCUUGUGUUGAGACAGGGGUGGGCACAACAUGGGGAGCAAGGGGGACUGGGGCACCAAAGGAGUUACUGUUUAUAAAACCUCUAGUGCUGUAUUGCACCCACUCUUCAAACAAUAAUAAUAGUGAAAUACCAGUGGUUUGAUUUUCUGGAAUUUAACCAUUGAAAUAGAUCAAAUUUUUCCUGUCUUCAGAGACAGAACAACUGUUUUAAAUUGAUCAGUUCUGGGUUGAUCAUUUCCUGCCCACUUCUUAUUUUGCCCGAGAAUGUAUUUGGUGGAAAUGAUUGAUCAGGGAGAUUCUUUUUGGCACUCUUCCUUGGUUUUGAACAUUGUGUCCUAAUGAAGUGGCAUCUCUAAUAUCUCACUCUUUACUCUUUUUUAGCCACCUAGAAUUCUCUGUCAUUCUACUGAACAGGAGAAUAAUCCCAAUUCACAGGCUAACUAUACUAUUUUAGGCUUUUCUUUCUUUCUAAACAAUUUAAUUAUAUCCCAGGGAACAUAGGAGAAGGCAAUGGCACCCCACUCCAGUACUCUUGCCUGGAAAAUCCUAUGGACGGAGGAGCCUGGUGGGCUGCAGUCCAUGGGGUUGCGAAGAGUUGGACAUGACUGAGCGACUUCACUUUCACUUUUCACUUUCAUGCACUGGAGAAGGAAAUGGCAACCCACUCCAGUGUUCUUGCCUGGAGGAUCCCAGGGACGGGGGAGCCUGGUGGGCUGCCGUCUAUGGGGUCGCACAGAGUCGGACACGACUGAGGCAACUUAGCAGCAGCAGGGAACAUAUUAAUAAUUGGUUUUGGUUAUAAUAUAAAAAGUCUAUCCCAGUACAAGGAAAAGCAUGGAAGUGGGAAUAGCUUUGUCCAGCUUCAAAUGACUUAAAAUUCCUUAGAUCUAAUUCUCACAUCUUCAAAUCUUCCUAUUAUUGGAAAAUUAAUCUCUUAAAUAUCUGAGACUAGCAAUAAUGAUGAGGCAAAGCCAUUUUUUCCUUCUGCAGACCUCCUUCUAAGCAUUGGAGCUGUGUGAAGUUCUUGCCACCAAAGGGUAGUUUUCAAACUUGAAUGUGAAAAAGACUCAUAAGGGGAGUAAGCGAGUGUCAAUUUCUGGUUCCCAGCUCCAAAACUGUGUGCAAUGCUCUGGGGGUACUCUAAGGAUCUCUCUUUAAAAACCACUGCUCCAGGAAUUUUAUACAUCUCUACUGAACUUAAUUCAAAUGUUCAUUCUUAAAGACAGGUAGAGAAGUCAUAACAGAUGUCUAGAUAGGCUGCCACUGCUCCUUUCAAAUAAAUCCUUAGCUAUUCAUCUAUUGAUGCA